AUUUUUUGAAGUUUUGGAGUAUAUAUCAUAAUAAUGUUUAUCUGUAGCUCUUGCAUGAAAUUAUUUAUAUUAUACGUUAUUGUAUAGAAUUUGGUUACUUUGGAGCAACGAUCGAAAUUGGAGAACUCGUUAAUCGUACCAUACUUAUUAAUGCUCGCAUAAAAAAAAUAUAUAAAAAAAAUGUUUCUACCUCCAAAAGGAAUUAAAUAGGUAGCAAUGGCGUUAGAUAUGGGUGUCCGCACCUGGUGUAUAAUAUUAGCAUGCGUAUGAGAGUCUCUGGGAUGAUCGGGAUAAAAAUGGGAGUACAAACAUCAGAACAUAAUAGACGCCCGGUCGAUGGAAAUACUAAUGAGGUGGAACGGUGCAAGUAUAACAGAUCGUGAAGAAUGACGCACACGUGGGUGGAGAGAUGCGACGGGAAUUACGAAUGCGAGGAGAAAAAAAAUUUUGAAAUUGCACUGUGCUUUCGUUCGGUUUGUAAAACGGAUUCGCGAAGUCAGAUAUUGUAUGUGUAUAUAUUUUCAAUUUCAAGUGAUCGAAACUCUUGUAGUGACAAUCUUUCUGUGGAUAUCUACAUUUCGUGGAUAUCUACAUCGCUGGCUGUAUCCCCUGGAAAUAUUUCUGUAAAACAGCGAGGUUCUUUGUUCGCAGUAUUGAUCAUCGCCUUGGAGAUAAGGGGAUCUCGAUUUCGUUGAAAAAAACUGGCCUUGUUACUUUUGUUGAGAUCAACGACACCCGACAUUUUACUGCUCGUCCAUAUCGAUACGCAUAUUCUCGUGUAAAAGGUGGCCCAACACUCCCAAACGCCGGGCGAUAUUUCCGUGUACGAGAAUAUAACAAUCUAAAAUUAUUGAACGAAAA